rnacentral:rRNA from 1 species
UACGGAGGGUGCGAGCGUUGUCCGGAAUCACUGGGCGUAAAGGGCGCGUAGGCGGCCUGGCAAGUCGGUGGUGAAAGUUCGGGGCUCAACCCUGAAUCGGCCGUCGAUACUCCUGGGCUCGAGCACUGUAGAGGCAGAUGGAAUUCCGGGUGUAGCGGUGGAAUGCGUAGAGAUCCGGAAGAACACCGGUGGCGAAGGCGGUCUGCUGGGCAGUUGCUGACACUGAGGCGCGACAGCGUGGGGAGCAAACAGGG